GACAAACGCUGGCGGCGUGCGUAACACAUGCAAGUUGAACGCGAAUAUAUGAGAAGUGGUAACACGGAUUGUAUGUUUGAGUAGCGGACGGGUGAGUAGAACAUGAGAACCUAUCCUUCAAAGGGGGACAACGGUUGGAAACGGACGCUAAUACCCCAUAAGCCGAGAGGUGAAAGCAGCGAUGCGAUGCGAGGAGGGGCUCGUGUCCUAUCAGCUAGUUGGUGGGGUAAUGGCCUAGCAAGGCGACGAAGGGUAGCCGGCCUGAGAGGGUGUACGGCCACACUGGAACUGAGAGACGGUACAGACUCCUACGGGAGGCAGCAGUGGGGAAUAUUGGGCAAUGGGAGAAAUCCUGACCCAGCGACGCCGCGUGAACGAAGACGGCCUUCGGGUUGUAAAGUUCUUUUAUGUGGGAAGAAAACAAUGACGGUACCACAUGAAUAAGCCCCGGCUAACCACGUGCCAGCCGCCGCAGUAACAC
rnacentral:rRNA from 1 species